GAUGAACGCUGGCGGCGUGCCUAAUACAUGCAAGUCGAGCGAACAGACGAGGAGCUUGCUCCUCUGACGUUAGCGGCGGACGGGUGAGUAACACGUGGAUAACCUACCUAUAAGACUGGGAUAACUUCGGGAAACCGGAGCUAAUACCGGAUAAUAUAUUGAACCGCAUGGUUCAAUAGUGAAAGACGGUUUUGCUGUCACUUAUAGAUGGAUCCGCGCCGCAUUAGCUAGUUGGUAAGGUAACGGCUUACCAAGGCAACGAUGCGUAGCCGACCUGAGAGGGGGGUGCGACACACGGGAAAGGAGGACCGGGACGCGACCCCAGGGGGGGGGGGAAGAGGGAAUGCUGCCGAAAGGGGGGAAGGCCGGCGGGAGCACCGCGGGGGGGGUAAGAAGGGUUUUGGAAUCUAAAAACCUUGUUAUGGGGGAAAAAAAAAUGGGAAAGAAACAAUGCACGUCUUAACGUACCAUAACAAGAAAGCCCGGACUAACUACGGC
rnacentral:rRNA from 1 species